rnacentral:rRNA from 1 species
UACAGAGGGUGCAAGCGUUAAUCGGAAUUACUGGGCGUAAAGGGCGCGUAGGCGGCCUGCUAAGUCGAACGUGAAAUCCCCGGGCUCAACCCGGGAACUGCGUCCGAUACUGGUAGGCUUGAAUUCGGGAGAGGGAUGCGGAAUUCCAGGUGUAGCGGUGAAAUGCGUAGAUAUCUGGAGGAACACCGGUGGCGAAGGCGGCAUCCUGGACCGACAUUGACGCUGAGGCGCGAAAGCCAGGGGAGCAAAC